rnacentral:rRNA from 1 species
UACGGAGGGUGCGAGCGUUAAUCGGAAUUACUGGGCGUAAAGGGUGCGUAGGUUGUUUAAUAAGUUAUCUGUGAAAGCCCUGGGCUCAACCUGGGAAGGCCAGAUAAGACUGUUGGACUCGAGUAUGGGAGAGGGUAGUGGAAUUUCCGGUGUAGCGGUGAAAUGCGUAGAGAUCGGAAGGAACACCAGUGGCGAAGGCGGCUACCUGGCCUGAUACUGACACUGAAGCACGAAAGCGUGGGGAGCAAACAGG